rnacentral:rRNA from 1 species
GACGGAGGAGGCAAGCGUUAUCCGGAAUUAUUGGGCGGAAAGCGUCCGUAGGUGGUUAUUCAAGUCUUUUGUUAAAUAGUGGAGCUCAACUCCAUAGAGGCGGAAGAAACUGAGUAACUUGAGUGCGGUAGGGGUAGAGGGAAUUCCAGGUGUAGCGGUGAAAUGCGUAGAUAUCUGGAAGAACACCAGUGGCGAAGGCGCUCUACUGGGCCGUAACUGACACUGAGGGACGAAAGCUAGGGGAGCGAAAGGG